UCGGAAUUGUAACUAUGAGCUAUUUUUAAUGUUUUACCAUUUGACCUAGAGUUUCAAAAACGUCUUAGAAGGUUGAUUUUAUUUUCUGAAAAUCCAAGGAUUUUCUUAUUAGUUGUCUAUGUAAACAACGUUGAGCUCAAGGCAACCCGCACCAAGUCCCGGACGAGUGGAGUGUUCAGCGUCAGUGGCCUGUCGCUGGCAAUCGGACAGAAGUUUGAGAUAAAGCUCGUCAUGUCCCAUUAGCAUCGAAACCAAUUGUGUAGUAUAAUUUUUUAUCGGAAUAAAUUAAAGUUGAAUAUUGAUCUAGAGUGAUCUAUUGUUCAAUGUUUUAUCUUUUUAUCUAGAGUUUUAAAUAUGUCUUAACAGGUUGCUUUUAUUUUCUCAAAAUCCAAGGUACUGCUUAUUAGUUGUCGAUGUGGUCUGGAAUUCAGAAGGUACAUCGACAAUGUUGCAACUCAAAGAGGUAGGAAAAUUGUUCUUCAAUAGAUGGCUGCUGAGGUUUAUCAUCAUAGUUGGCAAGGCAACCAGUUGAAGAUUGAUAAUAUCGUGCGCCAAUUCUAAAGUGCAUCCGACCCGCUAGCAGCUUCCCCUCUCAUUUUAUAGUAGCAUAUAUAGGUAUUUAAGUAGCCCCUAAGAAGCUCACUUACAAGAUCUAGGUUUAUCUGAAAUUGUUCCUUGACCAUUUUCCUUUUGGCCCAAUAGACUGAAUUAGGCUAGAGUCUAUUUUGAUGUACGUUUGACAAAACAGGACAAGACCAUGAUUUGUGUUGCUUCUUCAAAAAUCAACGUCUUCAUAGGUUCCACACGACACGUGUAACUAGCAACCGCUGAAUUGUAAUUAUGAGCUAUUUUUUAGUGUUUAAAAAUUUGACCUAGAUUUUCAAAAACAUCUUAGAAGGUGGAUUUUACUUUCUCAAAAUCGAAGGUACUUCUUAUUAGUUGUCUAUAUGUAAACAACGUUGAGCUCAAGGCAUCCCGCACCAAGUCCGGACGAGUAGAGUGUUCAACGUCAGUGGCCUGUCGCUGGCAAUCAGACAGAAGUUUGAGAUAAAGCUUUUCAUGCAUGCUCUAUUAACAUUGAAACCAUUUGUGUAUAUUUUUUCAUCGGAAUAAAGAAAAAUUGAAGAUUGGUAGUAUCAUGUGCCAGUUCAAACAUGCAUUCUUCCCGUAGCAGCUCCAACUCUCAUUUCAUAGAAGCAAAUAUAGAUAUUUAACCACCCCCCGAGAUGAUCAGUUACUAGUUGUAUGUUGAUCUGAAAUUGCACCUUGACCAUUUUCCUUUUUGUUCUCCUACUAGGACAUUUUGAACGUGCUUGACGGACUUAGGCUAGCUAGAGUCUAAGUUUUUUUUUACCUUUGACAAAACAGGACAUGACCUUGAUUUGUUCUGUUUCCUCAAAAUACAACGUCUUCGUAGGUAGGUACCACAUGGCAUGUGUCACUAGCAACCUCAAAAUUGUAAUUAUGAGCUAUUACUUCAUGUUUAAUCAUUUGGUCUAGAGUUUCAAAAACGUCUUAGAAGGUUUAUUUUCUUUUCUCAAAAUACAAGGUACUGCUUAUUAGUUGUAGAUGUGGUCUUGUAUUCAAAAGGUACAGCGACAAAGUUGCAACUCAAAGGGAUAGGAAAACUGUUCUUCAACAGAUGGCAGCUGAGGUUUAUUAUCGUAGUCGGCGAGGUAACCAGUUGAAGACUGAUAGUAUCGUGUGCCAGUUCUAACAUGCAUCUGACCCGCUAGAAGCUUCCACUCUCAUUUCAUAGAAGCAAAUAUAGGUAUUUAAGCACCCCCUGAGAUGAUCCGUUCCAAGAUGUAUGUUGAUACCAAAUUGUUCCUUGAGCUUUUUCCUUUUGGCUCAGUAGACCGAAUUAUGCUUGAUUCUAAGUUUUCGUUUUACGUUUCACAAAACAUGCCAAGACCUUGAUUUAUUUUGCUUCCUCAAAAAUUAAUGUCUUCGUAGGUUCCAAACGGCAUGUAAAACUAGCAACCUCGGAAUUAUAAUUAUGAUCUACUAUUUAAUGUUUAAUCAUUUGAUCAAGAGUUUUAAAAAUGUCUUAACAAGUUGAUUUUAUUUUCUCAAAAUCUAAGGUACUUCUUAUUAGUUGUCACCCUACCUAUUCGUAGUCGUUUUUUUAAGGAGGAUAACUCCCGGCCUCUGCAUCAAGCGAUGCACAUAAACAUUUUUAUUGCAUAAUUUAGCAAGUUCUUACAAAAAAAAUACAUGGAUCGACCAAAUCCACCUUCCUGGCGAAAUCUGUUGCCCUACCUAGAAGGUUGAUGAUGUGUCAUGACCUCGUGUCAAUGCACACCAUGAAAUUCGGUAGCCUCACCAAGCCGCCCACCGGCUAGCCGGGUGCACCAACCGGUCAAGCAGAUCCUCAGUGUCCACCGCAUGUGCAUGUUGUAGAAUCUGUCACCCCCAUAUUCCGUCAUCCCAUCUUCCGGAGUAAUCAAUGCGUUGACCUUGCCAAGCCCUUUUGCCAUCGACACCAGGCAACGCCAGCCUUCCGCACGCGCCCAUCAAAUGUAGGCGUGGAUGGAAAAUUUUAGUAAAGGAGUAUAUUUCUUGCUAAAUGGAAAAGUGAGAAAGCAGGUUUCUACAAUGGUUGGCCAUCUUUGUUUUCUAUUUGUUCUAGGUGAUUGCCAUCACAGGUUGGUAUGUAACGGCAAAGAACGAACCAAUAGGACUCUGCCAUCUAGUAUUCUAUGGCCCAGGUAUUAAAUGUAAUUUUCACUUCUGUCUUAGUUUUUAGCAGCUAUAGAUAGUAAUGCGAUCUAGCAGGGGUCCACAAAAGCAACUUUUAUCAGGUGGCAUAGUGAGAGAGAAGAGAAGGAUGCCGGCUGCGUGAACGCAUAAGGGCAUGUACAAUGGAGGCAGCACCUUGGUGCUGCCCCAGCCAUCCACAUAGGUAAAUUUGAAUGAAGCUAUUGUUGUAUGCCACUAUCACCCAAUGGAAGCUACUCUAUGUGAUGUCAUCAUCUUAUUUUUUCUCUCUCACCUCCUUUCCAACACAUGAAACCUCCACUACAUUUAAACAAUACCAGAAUCUAUUUGAAUUAACAAUAUCAGCAAGCAUACACACUAUAUCAACAAGCAUACACACUGAAAGUUAUCAAACAACUUGAUUUCCAAACAAAAAUCAACAAUCUUGAUAUGCAAACAGUGUCAGUAUGUCUUGUCCAUGACACUACAAAAUCCCAUAGUAACAGAAUAAUCUUAAGGUUUCAAAUACCCAUAAAGGAAAGAUUUGUAAACACACAAAUCAAAUUUCAGACUGAAUUUUUUGUUGUAUCCUUUGAUUCUUCUCAUUCCAAAAAAAAAAUCUCACAUCUUCUACGCUUCCUGGCACAUGAAAUCCGCUUUUUUUGACAUAUAUGUAGAACAUCUACACGAGAAGCAAGCCACAAGUUAGAGUAUAAUAACAAGCAUGUCGAAAACACAGAUUUUUUCUAAGUUGGCCAUUUGGUUUGGCUAGAGCAUUCCCUGUUAAAUUUGCAUGGAGCAACUGACAAUAGUACAAGUAUCCUGCUGUAGUGCAACUACAGUUUUAAAAACUGAAGGUGAGUUUUAUAGCACAACCAUCAUUCUAAUUAAAAAAUAGCAUUUCAAAAACAAUAGUGCAGAUUUUUGGGUACAGUACAGUGUAGAUUUAUGAGUACAAUGCAUAUUUUAAAAACAAUAGUGCAGAUUUCUGGGUACAGUACAGUGUAGAUUUCUGAGUACAAUGCAUAUUUCAAAAACAAUAGUGCAGACUUUUAGUGGAACAUAUAUGUGGACUUCGUAACGAACACAUGCAGAUUCUAGCAUUUGUUUCUAAAGUACAUCAAGUGGUAUGUGUUCUAAGUUAUUAAUCCUAACAAGAAGAGGCAAGGGAAGGAGUAACCUCAUACCUUACAGGGAGAACAAAAUUAGAUCAGGAAUAGGAAAAUGCAAGAGGGGUUUUCCCAUGCGGAACCUUCUACGGAAGUAGUAAUCAGGAUAGGUAGGAUUAUCACAGAAGUAAUCUGCUAUGAGAAGUUCAUUGUAAAAUUCUCUCUUCCUGUCAAUAUAUGUCCUAGGGGCUGACUGACGCCUAGUACUUGGACCUUCUAGUGUAUGAUGAAUGUUUGUGGCUAUUUGUGUAGCAAAGUUGUUGAGAGUAUUCUGUUGUGCCAAGUAAUCUUCUAGAGAGAAAAUUUCUGUUGGGUCAAUGGUAUCAUCUUCGAACUCAUCGGAACUCAAUUGUGACAUAUUGCAAGUUGAGCUACAAUUUAAAAAUCAAGUAAUAAGAAUUAUGCACACAACACACAUGAAACUAUAAUUUGGAUGGGAAGAAUAAUAUUCAUGUGCAAAUAGCAUACUCGGAACUACCAAAGAACAAUAAAAAGAUAGCAAAGUGUCCAAGUGUUCUAAGCUCUUAAUCCUACCAGCUAUUUCUCAAAAAAAGAAAAAAAAUAACACGGAUAUGGCACCUUCAGCAGACUAGCACUACUCUUUCUUUAUCAGUAUAUGCAGCUAGCACAAGGGACCAAAUUGACCAACGUACAUAGAUGUUAUAACAGUCAGAACUCUGUUCAACUUAACUCUAUACCAAAACAUCUUGAUGGCAGUCACAUUUCCUGAAUAAGGCUAGUAAGUCUAGCAAAAGAAUUCAACAUCUGCACCUAGUACAACAACUAAUAGUACCAGCAUCCCUGUGAUUAUGCUAGUCUAAUAAUAUACCAACUACUAGUACAUCUAGCAAAAGAAUUCAGCAUCUGCACCUAGCCAUUAGCAAAUAAAAACAAAGAUGGGGAUUUCAGGAUUUGACAUGUUUCUCUCAGGGCUAGCAAAUCAGCAUCUGCACCUAGCCAUCUGCAUCUGCACCUAGCUAAUUAGCAUAAUUUUCUCUUCACAAUUGCAAAGAGCAGAGUACCAAGGCUGAUCUGACAUGUUUCUCUCAGGGCUAAGAAGAAAAAAGAUGGGGAUUUCAGGAUUUCCACAAGCAUGGUUGCCUGACUCAAAUAGAUUGAACCAAAAUCACACACAGGGGAAUCAAUCUUCUUGGAACGGAUCUGUUCUUGGAACCCUAGCCUAGUUUACUGAGCAAAAUAAAUCUGGCCAUGACCACAAGAAGAAGCAGGGGAAGAACUAGACUCGUACCUUGCAGCAAGAGCUGCAGUCGGAUGUCGACGGCAGGUUGAGGACGAGGUGCGCCGCCUUCUCCGCUGGUUCGCGUGCCGCGCCUCCGCUCCCUGGUUCGCGCGCCGCGCCUCCGCUCCCUGGUUCGCGCGCCGCGACUCCGCUCCCUGGUUCGCGCCCUUCUCUUCUCCCCUUCCCGCCCUUCCCUUCUCUCUUUCGCGCCCUUCCCCUCUCGCUCGCGGGAUUUUGUUGGGCGAGUGUGGUCCCGAAUCGAGCGGAGCGACGGACCUCCCACCGCGUCGCCCCAGCGGCCGCCUCGUUGGUUUCGUCAGCGAAGAAGCGAGUUCUUCUGCAGGAGCCCGUUUCGAUCUCCAAGCCACAGGUUUGGUUGAUGUGGCACUCGGCAGGAGGAGGUGGCACAUGGGGCGCCUGUCCAGCGUGGCCCAUUGGCCAUGCCCUAAUUCUCUCCAACUAAAGGCUUGCACUUUAUUUUCCGUAUGGCAUUUUCAAUGGCUCAUAAGUUGUGAAUCAAAUAUUCAUUUUUUGAUUAUAUAUAUAUAUAUAUAUAUAUAUAUAUAUANNNNNNNNNNNNNNNNNNNNNNNNNNNNNNNNNNNNNNNNNNNNNNNNNNNNNNNNNNNNNNNNNNNNNNNNNNNNNNNNNNNNNNNNNNNNNNNNNNNNNNNNNNNNNNNNNNNNNNNNNNNNNNNNNNNNNNNNNNNNNNNNNNNNNNNNNNNNNNNNNNNNNNNNNNNNNNNNNNNNNNNNNNNNNNNNNNNNNNNNNNNNNNNNNNNNNNNNNNNNNNNNNNNNNNNNNNNNNNNNNNNNNNNNNNNNNNNNNNNNNNNNNNNNNNNNNNNNNNNNNNNNNNNNNNNNNNNNNNNNNNNNNNNNNNNNNNNNNNNNNNNNNNNNNNNNNNNNNNNNNNNNNNNNNNNNNNNNNNNNNNNNNNNNNNNNNNNNNNNNNNNNNNNNNNNNNNNNNNNNNNNNNNNNNNNNNNNNNNNNNNNNNNNNNNNNNNNNNNNNNNNNNNNNNNNNNNNNNNNNNNNNNNNNNNNNNNNNNNNNNNNNNNNNNNNNNNNNNNNNNNNNNNNNNNNNNNNNNNNNNNNNNNNNNNNNNNNNNNNNNNNNNNNNNNNNNNNNNNNNNNNNNNNNNNNNNNNNNNNNNNNNNNNNNNNNNNNNNNNNNNNNNNNNNNNNNNNNNNNNNNNNNNNNNNNNNNNNNNNNNNNNNNNNNNNNNNNNNNNNNNNNNNNNNNNNNNNNNNNNNNNNNNNNNNNNNNNNNNNNNNNNNNNNNNNNNNNNNNNNNNNNNNNNNNNNNNNNNNNNNNNNNNNNNNNNNNNNNNNNNNNNNNNNNNNNNNNNNNNNNNNNNNNNNNNNNNNNNNNNNNNNNNNNNNNNNNNNNNNNNNNNNNNNNNNNNNNNNNNNNNNNNNNNNNNNNNNNNNNNNNNNNNNNNNNNNNNNNNNNNNNNNNNNNNNNNNNNNNNNNNNNNNNNNNNNNNNNNNNNNNNNNNNNNNNNNNNNNNNNNNNNNNNNNNNNNNNNNNNNNNNNNNNNNNNNNNNNNNNNNNNNNNNNNNNNNNNNNNNNNNNNNNNNNNNNNNNNNNNNNNNNNNNNNNNNNNNNNNNNNNNNNNNNNNNNNNNNNNNNNNNNNNNNNNNNNNNNNNNNNNNNNNNNNNNNNNNNNNNNNNNNNNNNNNNNNNNNNNNNNNNNNNNNNNNNNNNNNNNNNNNNNNNNNNNNNNNNNNNNNNNNNNNNNNNNNNNNNNNNNNNNNNNNNNNNNNNNNNNNNNNNNNNNNNNNNNNNNNNNNNNNNNNNNNNNNNNNNNNNNNNNNNNNNNNNNNNNNNNNNNNNNNNNNNNNNNNNNNNNNNNNNNNNNNNNNNNNNNNNNNNNNNNNNNNNNNNNNNNNNNNNNNNNNNNNNUUUGGAAUGAAUGACAUAUCUCUUUUGAAACAAGUAGUUUUUGAAAAAUGAGUGAAAUGGUAAAGUUAAGACUUGUCCAAAUGUAUCUGUGAUUGAUCUUGUUAUGGAUACACAAAUAUAUUAAAAAACAUUCAAAAAGAGAUAUGUCAUUCAUUCCAAAAACAUAUUUCACUUAUUAAAAAACUGAUUUCUCUCAUUGAAAAUAUGGAUUUCACUCUGUUUAGAAAAUAACAUUUUCACUCAUUUCAUAAAAGUGAUUUUAAUCAGUAUAGUUAUAUUUCACAAAUAUCAGUUGGUCAGUUUGACUAACGAUUUCUCUCAUUUAUGUGAAAUUGAUAUUAAAAAUGUGAAACUGGUUUUUUCAGUAAUGCAAAACAGAUGGUAUCAAACUACAAAAGAAAUAUUUUUCAAUACAAGCAAAACUAUUUUUUCUUCAAAUAUGUGUGUUUCAGUGAUGAGUAGAUGUGAAAUAUAUAUGACUUGUAGUAAAAAGAUGUGAAAUAGAUUUCAAUUUUAUUGAGAAUGUAAGAUUGUUUAUAUCAAAAUAUCUGAAAUCAAUGUCAUCCAAAAUAUAUGAAACAAAUUGGUCCACUUGAAAAAGGUGAAGCCGAUAUCUUACAAAAUAGGAACUGGAUUCUUACAAAAUAUGUGGAGCAGAUUGUAAUAAAAUUGUUUUCGCUCAGUUCAAAACACAGAAUUCACUCAUUUCACUCGAUUUCACCCAUUUCUAAAAAAAACUAUUCUACUCAUUACUUAAAAGUAGAGAAUGUGCAAUAUAUUCAAAACAGGGAUUUCAUUCAUAUCGAAACACUUAUUUCACUUAAUUUGAAGGACUGAUUUCAUUCAAUUGAAAAACAUAAUUUCACUCAUUUCCAGGAAAGACAGAGUCCAUUAGUUUAAAACAACAUAUUUCACUCAUAUCAAGAUUUCACUUGUUUGAAAAUAAAAAAUAAUUUCACUCAUUUGAGAACAUCCAGUCUUUUGAAAAAACUAAUUUCACUAAAAACUAAAACUAAAACCAAGAUUUCACUAAAAUUAAUAGAGUUCACUCAUUGGUGUUGUUCUAAGCAGUUACUCUCAUGGUGGCACGCCGCUCUUCACUGAUAGAUGUUGGUGUAGUUUUUUUUAUAUAGUAGACAAAUUUGGUUUAACCAUGUAUCUGUUGAUUAUUCAUCUUAUUUAUUUUAUUUCAUGUAAGGAAAUAAUGGAAAAGUAGAAGUUAGUGUGUAUAGGUAAUUAAUGAGUUCUGAAGUUUUCGCAUAUCCUAACCAGAAAGGAGAGCAAAGUUCGUCUGGUUGUAUACUCAAGAAGUAGGAGUUAUGUGUGUAGCAGAACAUAAGUGGAAUCGAAAUGGAUGAGAGUAUUAUUUAUGUUGAAAACAUGAAAAUAAUAGAAUGGUGAACUCUCCUACUUGCCGCAUUUACAAAAUUUUCCUCUUUCCUAUUGAAGGAGACCAUGUGGUCCAAAACAUCUAUUUGCACUAUUACUGUCACCAUGACGAAGAUGUGAAGACAGUGGCAUAUAUACAAUAGUAGAUCAGCGAUUGUGUGCGUUGUUGUGUGCAUAUAUUUUUCGAUGGAGAAAUGAAACAUGGAGGUUUAAUUACAUAAUCACAUACCCUAUUGUGCUAAGGUUGGCAUGAAAAUUAACAGUACCAAACCCACAUUAAAGGUAGGUCAAAACUAAUGUAGAACUAUUAACUUAUAUUUUUACUAAGUAGUAAACUAUGUUAACGAAAGUUGAGAAAAACAUGGGUCAAUAAACAAACAAAAUAAAUAAAUAAUCAUAACUUGUACAAGAUAUACAUGUGUGCAGUGCGCUAACAGGUUACAUCAGAAGAAAAUUUCCUCCACAUUAUAACUGAAACUAACAAAGGAGUAUAUUUAACAGGAGCUACUUAUUGUUAAAAUGGUGAGCUCACAUUGUGUCCGGGGUUGAAUACAAAUUGAAGAGUCUUAUGCAAGCUCAGUGACUCUCGGUUUGAAAAUGUGCAUUAUGCUUUGUUAGUUUACUACUUUGCUUGUGUCAAAACAUUCAAGGAACUUUAAAUAAUCACAAUAUGAACUCAAAGUAUGGCUGGAGAACAGGGAAUCAAAAUGUUGACAUGACGACAAACAUAUCAAUGCAGUAUAUUUCUUAAAAUUAGCACAUUAUUAGUGUAUAACAAUGAAUAUAGCAGACAUCUUAACUAUCAAGUCGGACCAUACCCAUAUAAACUGGAGGACUGAGAAUAUUUUUAUUUGUUCGAUUCUACCCAAAAGUAUCAAGAAAAAGAAUCAUCACCAAGCCAUAAUAAGAUAGGUGGGGCGCAGAGUCCAUGUCUAUCUAGACCCCAGCUCAGAAUCAUUGAAUCUUUUUGACACAACCAAGAAGUAGCCAGAUUAUAUGUCCACCCUUCCAGGAUUAGCAAAAUAAGGCUGACAGUAUUCGUCAAGUAUAGUUUCGAUAUGCUUCUCUAAAUAAGCCUAGUACGAUUCUUGAGCCCAUCCAGUGUUCGAAAGCGAAGGUAUGACAUCGGUCAAAGAUAAUAAAGUUCCAAACAUCCUGAUAACAUCACAAAAACAGAGACGCAUUGAUGAUUCACCUGAUAAAAACAUGGAAACUAAUGAAUUGAUACUUAUCCUGGAAAUGUGUGUAUAUUGUCACAAGAGGACCACAAUCACAACAUAGUAAGUAUAAUUACAAUGGAAACUUAAACUGUGCAAGUGCAUACAGAGAUUUAUCUCCCUGCUGCAGCUCGAUAAGAAAGUUCUAUUCUAUGUCUAUAGUAGACCAAGAGUUUAUCUGGAAGAAUUAUUUCCUUUAUCCACUUGUGCUCAACAAUAAAAGCAUUAUCAAGGACGUCCAACUACUGAAUUGUGCAUCUUAUAGUUGUAAAACUGUAUAUUCAAUAGAGAUGUCAACAAUUUGUUUUUUUAAUAGAUAGGUGGGUUCUAUACUCACUAAUUUUAAGUGCCACAUAAAGGGUAUAUUUAUUAGUUCUUAGAAGCUAGACAUUUGUGUUCAUAAGGGAGAAAAAUCACCCAAAACUAAUUAUUUCAUGUACAUAUAGCAUUCACCUAGUUGAUGGAGUAAAAUAAUCAUCAAGCGCGGUUGUUAGACGGAAUUGUCAAACAUCAACAAAAAUGAACAAUAACAGUAGCGGCGGGGUUUGAGAAACCUGAGCUUACUGAAUCUGGACACAAGGAUGAAGUGCCGAUGUGCUUGUUGCAGAAUCACAUUAAGGAGAAGCAAAAAUGCAUGCCAUGAAAAAUUGAUAGAUUGUCAUUUAUAUACCAUCUGCAUUUUUGUUAUUGAACAAAUUAAAGGGAUGUGUGUCCAGAAUGCAAAUUACUCACUCUGUAAAGAAAUAUAAGAGUGUUUAAAUCACUAAAAUAAUGAUCUAAACAAUCUUAUAUUUAUUUACGGAGGGAGUAGUAUACAUGUACGCAAUCACACAAAUAUCACGGUAUUAGUCAAGUGCACAGUGUAGUGAUAUUAGGCCUGCAACCUGCAGAAGCAUUUGUUAAAUUCUUUUAAAAGGAUUUUGAAAUAACAAUUGGCCUCUAGUUAGCAACUUCAAGGACGGUAGUUACAGAAAAUACCAGAUUCAGUCAUUCAGAGUUCAAUCGGGAUAUGUACAUACCAGAAGUUAUCAUGUGCCUUUCAAGCGGAUGACUUCGCUGGAGAGGAUGUCCACCUUGUCUGCAUUGACCUCGGCGAUCUUCGUGUCAUUGUCUACAUGGCCGAGCUCAGCCUUAUUUGGCCUCGGUGGACGGUGGUCAUCAAAAGCUCACGCAUGAACCUCUCUAACUCCUCUAUCAUGGUGAACAUCAUCUCCAAGUCCGCCACAUGCUGGCCGCGCACGCAGUCAACCUCCCUCUACCAGUCCUCCCACUUCUGCACCUCGUCGUCGAUGCCCUUCUCGUCUGGCCGGAACUUCUCGAUCUCGGUGGCCUCCUCGGCCCACCACUUGGUGUCGUGGUGCGCGCACGGCAGAUGCCAAGGGAUGGCUAAAGAGAGGAAGAGGCUCGAAGGCACUGGUGGGCUCCAGAGGCGAGGUCGGCAUGAGCGAGCACGGGACGCAAGACAUACCUAGGUUCAGGGCUCUCCGGAGAGAUAACACCCCUAGUCCUGCCGAGUGUGGUUUAUAUGUGACAGUACAGAGUUGAUCCUAGAGCUGUAUCGAGGAAGAAGGGAAGCAGGACAAGGCUUAGGCUGCUCCCUCUCCUUGUGUGUGUUCUCUACUGAUCGGAUCUCUUCACCCCCAUGCAUGGAGGCCUCCUAGGGGGUUUUAUAGGUCAACUAAAGGAAAUAUGCCCUAGAGGCAAUAAUAAAGUUAUUAUUUAUUUCCUUAUUUCAUGAUAAAUGUUUAUUAUUCAUGCUAGAAUUGUAUUAACCGGAAACAUAAUACAUGUGUGAAUACAUAGACAAACAGAGUGUCACUAGUAUGCCUCUACUUGACUAGCUCGUUAAUCAAAGAUGGUUAUGUUUCCUAGCCAUGGACAAAGAGUUGUUAUUUAAUUAACGGGAUCACAUCAUUAGUUGAAUGAUCUGAUUGACAUGACCCAUUCCAUUAGCUUAGCACCCGAUCGUUUAGUAUGUUGCUAUUGCUUUCUUCAUGACUUAUACAUGUUCCUAUGACUAUGAGAUUAUGCAACUCCCGUUUGCCGGAGGAACACUUUGUGUGCUACCAAACGUCACAACGUAACUGGGUGAUUAUAAAGGAGCUCUACAGGUGUCUCCAAAGGUACAUGUUGGGUUGGCGUAUUUCGAGAUUAGGAUUUGUCACUCCGAUUGUCGGAGAGGUAUCUCUGGGCCCUCUCGGUAAUGCACAUCACAUAAGCCUUGCAAGCAUUGCAACUAAUGAGUUAGUUGCGGGAUGAUGUAUUACGGAAUGAGUAAAGAGACUUGCUGGUAACGAGAUUGAACUAGGUAUUGGAUACCGACGAUCGAAUCUCGGGCAAGUAACAUACCGAUGACAAAGGGAACAACGUAUGUUGUUAUGCGGUCUGACCGAUAAAGAUGUUCAUAGAAUAUGUAGGAGCCAAUAUGGGUAUCCAGGUCCCGCUAUUGGUUAUUGACCGGAGACAUGUCUCGGUCAUGUCUACAUUGUUCUCAAACCUGUAGGGUCCGCACGCUUAAGGUUUUUAUGACAGUUAUAUUAUGAGUUUAUGAGUUUUGAUGUACCGAAGGAGUUCGGAGUCCUGGAUGAGAUCGGGGACAUGACGAGGAGUCUCGAAAUGGUCGAGACGUAAAGAUCGAUAUAUUGGACGACUAUAUUCGGACAUCGGAAAGGUUCUGAGUGGUUCGGGUAUUUUUCGGAGUACCGGGGAGUUACGGAAUUACGGGGGAGAAGUAUUGGGCCUUAUUGGGCCAUACGGGAAAGAGAGAGGGGCUGCCUAGGGCAGGUCGCGCCCCCCCCCCCCCAAGGCCUAGUCCGAAUUUGACUAGGGGGAGGGGCUGCGCCCCCUCCUUCCUUGCCUACUCCUUUCCUCUUCCUUGUCUCCUACUCGUACUACAUGGAAGGAAUCCUAGUUGGACUAGGAAAGGGGAAAUCCUACUCCCGGUGGGAGUAGGACUCCCUAGGGCGCGCCAUAGAGAGGGCCGGCCCUCCCCUCCUCCACUCCUUUAUAUACGGCGGUAGGGGGCACCCCAUAGACACACAAGUUGAUCUUCGUGAUCGUUCCUUAGCCGUGUGCGGUGCCCCCCUCCACGAUAUUACACCUCGGUCAUAUUGUAGCGGUGCUUAGGCGAAGCCCUGCGACAGUAGAACAUCAAGAUCGUCACCACGCCAUCGUGCUGACGGAACUCCUCCUCGAAGCUUUGCUGGAUCGGAGCCCGGGGAGCGUCAUCGAGCUGAACGUGUGCAGAACUCAGAGGUGCCGUCCGUUCGGUGCUUGGAUCGGUCGGAUCGAGAAGACGUACGACUACUUCCUCUACGUUGUGUCAACGCUUCCGCUUCGGUCUACGAGGGUACAUAGACAACACUCUCCCCUCUCAUUGCUAUGCAUCACCAUGAUCUUGCGUGUGCGUAGGAAUUUUUUUGAAAUUACUACGUUCCCCAACAGUGGCAUCCGAGUCUAGGUUUUAUUGUUUGAUGUUAUAUGCACGAGUAGAACACAAGUGAGUUGUGGGCGAUAUAAGUCAUUACUGCUUACCAGCAUGUCAUACUUUGGUUCGGCGGUAUUGUUGGAUGAAGCGGCCCGGACCGACAUUACGCGUACGCUUACGCGAGACCGGUUCUCCCGACGUGUUUUGCACAUAGGUGGCUUGCGGGUGACAGUUUCUCCAACUUUAGUUGAACCGAGUGUGGCUACGCCCGGUCCUUGCGAAGGUUAAAACAGCACCAACUUGACAAACUAUCGUUGUGGUUUUGAUGCGUAGGUAAGAUUGGUUCUUGCUUAAGCCCGUAGUAGCCACGUAAAACUUGCAACAACAAAGUAGAGGACGUCUGACUUGUUUUUGCAGGGCAUGUUGUGAUGUGAUAUGGUCAAAACGUGAUGAGAUAUAAGUUGUUGUAUGAGAUGAUCAUGUUUUGUUGAAGUUAUCAGCAACUGGCAAAAUCCUUAUGGUUGUCUCUUUAUUGCAUAAGAUGCAAGCGCUCAAUAAUUGCUUUACUUUAUCGCUAUGCGAUAGCAAUAGUUGCAAGAGCAAUUGUUGGCGAGACGACCACGUGACGACACAUUGAUAUAGAUCAAGAUGAUGGAGAUCAUAGUGUCAUGCCGGUGAUGAUAGAGAUCAUGAAAGUACUUUGGAGAUGGAAAUCAAAGGCACAUGAUGAUGAUGGCCAUAUCAUGUCACAUAUUUUGAUUGCAUGUGAUGUUUAUCUUUUAUGCAUCUUAUCUUGCUUUGAUUGACGGUAGCAUUAUAAGAUGAUCUCUCACUAAAUUAUCAAGAUAAAAGUGUUCUCCCUGAGUAUGCACCGUUGCCCAAGUUCGUCGUGCCCAGACACCACGUGAUGAUCGGGUGUGAUAAGCUCUACGUCCAUCUACAACGGGUGCAAGCCAGUUUUGCACACGCAGAAUACUCAGGUUAAACUUGACAAGCCUAGCAUAUGCAGAUAUGGCCUCGGAACACUGAGACUGAAAGGUCGAGCGUGAAUCAUAUAGUAGAUAUGAUCAACAUAGUGAUGUUCACCAUUGAAAGCUACUCCAUUUCACGUGAUGAUCGGUUAUGGUUUAGUUGAGUUGGAUCACGUGAUCACUUAGAGGAUUAGAGGGAUGUCUAUCUAAGUGGGAGUUCUUAAGUAAUAUGAUUAAUUGAACUUAAAUUUAUCAUGAACUUAGUCCUGGUAGUAUUUUGCAAAUCAUGUUGCAGAUCAAUAGCUCGCAUUGUUGCUUCCCUGUGUUUAUUUUGAUAUGUUCCUAGAGAAAAUUGUGUUGAAAGAUGUUAGUAGCAAUGAUGCGGAUUGGAUCCGUGAUCUGAGGUUUAUCCUCAUUGCUGCACAGAAGAAUUAUGUCCUUGAUGCACCGCUAGGUGACAGACCUAUUGCAGGAGCAUAUGCAGACGUUAUGAACGUUUGGCUAGCUCAAUAUGAUGACUACUUAAUAGUUUAGUGCACCAUGCUUAACGACUUAGAAUCGGGACUUCAAAAGACGUUUUGAAUGUCAUGGACCAUAUGAGAUGUUCCAGGAGUUGAAGUUAAUAUUUCAAGCAAAUACCCGAAUUGAGUGAUAUGAAGUCUCCAACAAGUUCUAUAGCCAAAAGAUGGAGGAGAAUCGCUCAACCAGUGAGCAUGUGCUUAGAUUGUCUGGGUACUACAAUCGCUUGAAUCAAGUGGGAGUUAAUCUUCCAGAUAAGAUAGUGAUUGACAGAAUUCUCUAGUCACCAUCACCAAGUUAGUAGAACUUCGUGAUGAACUAUAGUAUGCAAGGGAUGAUGAAAACAACUCCCGAGCUUUUCAUGAUGAUGAAAUCGAUGAAGGUAGAAAUCAAGAAAGAGCAUCAAGUGUUGAUGGUAGACAAGACCACUAGUUUCAAUAAAAGGGCAAAGGGAAGAAGGGGAACUUCAAGAAGAACGGCAAGCAAGUUGCUGCUUAAGUGAAGAAGCCCAAGUCUGGUCCUAAGCCCGAGACUAAGUGCUUCUACUGCAAAGGGACUUGUCACUGGAAGCGGAACUGCCCCAAGUAUUUGGCGGAUAAGAAGGAUGGCAAAGUGAACAAAGGUAUAUUUGAUAUACAGAUUAUUAAUGUGUAUUUUACUAGUGUUCGUAGCAACCCCUCGGUAUUGAUACUGGUUCAGUUGCUAAGAGUAAUAACUCGAAACGGGAGUUGCAGAAUGAACAGAAACUAGUUAAGGGUGAAGUGACGAUGUGUGUUGGAAGUACUUCCAAGAUUGAUAUGAUCAUCAUCGCACACUCCCUAUACUUUCGGGAUUAGUGUUGAACCUGAAUAAGUGUUAUUUGGUGUUUGCGUUGAGCAUGAAUAUGAUUUGAUCAUGUUUAUUGUAAUAUGAUUAUUCAUUUAAGUAAGAGAAUAAAUUGUUGUUCUGUUUACAUGAAUAAAACCUUAUAUGGUUACACACCCAAUGAAAAUAGUUCGUUGGUUCUCGAUCGUAGUGAUACACAUAAUCAUAAUAUUGAAACCAAAAGAUGCAAAGUUAAUAAUGAUAGUGCAACUUAUUUGUGGCACUGCCUUUAGGUCAUAUUAGUGUAUAGCGCAUGAAGAAACUCCAUGCUGAUGGGCUUUUGGAAUCACUUGAUUAUGAAUCACUUGAUGCUUGCGAACCAUGCCUGAUGGGCAAGAUGACUAAGACUCCGUUCUCCGGAACAAUGGAGCGAGCAACUGACAUAUUGGAAAUAAUACAUACUGAUGUAUGCGAUCCGAUGAGUGUUAAGGCUCGCAGCGGGUAUCGUUAUUUUCUAACCUUCACAGAUGAUUUGAGCAGAUAUGGGUAUAUCUACUUGAUGAAACAUAAGUCUGAAACAUUUGAAAAAGUUCAAAGAAUUUCAGAGUGAAGUGGAAAAUCAUCGUGACAAGAAAAUAAAAGUUUCUAUGAUAUGAUCGCAGAGGUAAAAUAUUUGAGUUACGAGUUUGGCCUUCAAUUAAAACAAUGUGAAAUAGUUUCACUACUCACGCCACCUGGAACACCAUAGUGUAAUGGUGUGUCCGAACGUCAUAACCAUACUAUAUUGGAUAUAGUACAAUCUAUGAUGUCUCUUACCGAUCUACUACUAUCGUUUUUGGGGUUAUGCAUUAAAGACAUCUGCAUUCACGUUAAAAAGGGCACCAUCUAAGUCCGUUGAGACAACACAAUCUGAACUGUGGUUUGGCAAGAAACCAAAGUUGUCGUUUCUUAAAGUUUGGGAUUGUGAUGCUUAUAUGAAAAGGUUUCAGCAUGAUAAGCUCAAACCCAAAUCGGAGAAAUGUGUCUUCAUAGGAUACCCAAAGGAGACAGUUGGGUACACCUUCUAUCACAGAUCCGAAGGCAAAUUCGUUGCUGAGAAUGGAUCCUUUCCAGAGAAGGAGUUUCUCUCGAAAGAAGUGAGUGGGAGGAAAGUAGAAAACUUGAUAAGGUAAUUGUACCUUCUCCCUUAUUGGAAAUUAGUUCAUCACAAAAAUCUGUUCUUGUGACUACUACACCAAUUAGUGAGGAAGCUAAUGAUGAUGAUCAUGUAACUUCAGAUCAAGUUACUACCGAAUCUCGUAGGUAAUCCUGUUCUGGAAGUCAUGUUACUAGACCAUGACGAACUUGUGAACUAUAAGGAAGCGAUGAUGAGCCCAGAUUCCGCAAAAUGGCUUGAGGCCAUGAAAUCUGAGAUGAGAUCCAUGUAAGAAAACAAAGUAUGGACUUUGAUUGACUUGCCCAAUGAUCGACGAGCCAUUGAGAUUAAAUGGAUCUUCAAGAGGAAGACGAACGCUGAUAGUAGUGUUACUAUCUACAAAGCUAGAAUUGUCGCAAAAGGUUUUCGACAAGUUCAAGGUGUUGACUACGAUGAGAGUUUCUCACUCGUAUCUAUGCUUAAGUCUGUCCGAAUCAUGUUAGCAAUUGCCGCAUUUUAUGAAAUCUGGCAAAUGGAUAAACAAAACUGCAUUCCUUAAUGGAUUUAUUAAAGAAGAGUUGUAUGUGAUGCAACAAGAUGGUUUUGUCAAUCCUAAAGGUGCUAACAAAAUAUGCAAGCUCCAGUGACCCAUUUAUGGACUGGUGCAAGCAUCUCGGAGUUGGAAUAUACGCUUUGAUAAGUUGAUCAAAGCAUAUAGUUUUAUACAGACUUGCGGUGAAGCCUGUAUUUACAAGAAAGUGAGUGGGAGCUCUGUAGCAUUUCUGAUAUUAUAUGUGGAUGACAUAUUACUGAUUGGAAAUGAUAUAGAAUUUCUGGAUAGCAUAAAGGGAUACUUGAAUAAGAGUUUUUCAAUGAAAGACCUCGGUGAAGCUGCUUUCAUAUAAGGCAUAAAGAUCUAUAGAGAUAGAUCAAAACUCUUAAUUGGACUUUCACAAAGCACAUACCUUGACAAGAUUUUGAAGAAGUUCAAAAUGGAUCAAGCAAAGAAAGGGUUCUUGCCUGUGUUACAAGGUGUGAAGUUAAGUCAGACUCAAAGCCCGACCACGGUAGAAGAUAGAAAGCGAAUGAAAGUCAUUCCCUAUGCCUUGGCCAUAGGUUCUAUAAAGUAUGUCAUGCUGUGUACCAGAUCUAUUGUAUACCCUGCACUGAUUUGGCAAGGGAGUACAAUAGUGAUCUAGGAGUAGAUCACUUGACAGCGGUCAGAAUUAUCCUUAGUGAAAUAAGGAUAUGUUUCUCGAUUAUGGACGUGACAAAAAGGUUCGUCGUAAAGGGUUACGUCAAUGCAAGUUUUUGACACUGAUCGAGAUGAUUCUAAGUCUCAAUCUGGAUACAUAUUGAAAGUGGGAGUAGUUAGCUAGAGUAGCUCCGUGCAGAGCAUUGUAGACAUAGAAUUUUGCAAAAUACAUACGGAUCUGAAUUUGGCAGGCCGGUUGACUAAAUUUCUCUCACAAGCAAAACAUGAUCACUCUUUGGGUGUUAAUCACAUAGCGAUGUGAACUAGAUUAUUGAAUCUAGUAAGCCCUUUGGGUGUUAGUCACAUGGAGAUGUGAACCAAUCACAUAAAGAUGUGAACUAUUGGUGUUAAUCACAUAGCGAUGUGAACUAGAUUAUUGACUCUAGUGCAAGUGGGAGACUGAAGGAAAUAUGCCCAAGAGGCAAUAAUAAAGUUAUGAUUUAUUUCCUUAUUUCAUGAUAAAUGUUUAUUAUUCAUGCUAGAAUUGUAUUAACCGGAAACAUAAUACAUGUGUGAAUACAUAGACAAACAAAGUGUCACUAGUAUGCCUCUACUUGAUUAGCUCGUUAAUCAAAUAUGGUUAUGUUUCCUAACCAUGGACAAAGAGUUGUUAUUUAAUUAACGGGAUCACAUCAUUAGUUGAAUGAUCUGAUUGACAUGACCCAUUCCAUUAGCUUAGCACCCGAUCAUUUAGUAUGUUGCUAUUGCUUUCUUCAUGACUUAUACAUGUUCCUAUGACUAUGAGAUUAUGCAACUCCCGUUUGCCGGAGGAACACUUUGUGUGCUACCAAACGUCAUAACGUAACUGGGUGAUUAUAAAGGAGCUCUACAAGUGUCUCCAAAGGUACAUGUUGGGUUGGCGUAUUUCGAGAUUAGGAUUUGUCACUUCGAUUGUCAGAGAGGUAUCUCUGGGCCAUCUCGGUAAUGCACAUCACAUAAGCCUUGCAAGCAUUGCAACUAAUGAGUUAGUUGCAGGAUGAUGUAUUACGGAACAAGUAAAGAGACUUGCUGGUGACGAGAUUGAACUAUGUAUUGGAUACCGACGAUCGAAUCUCAGGCAAGUAACAUACCGAUGACAAAGGGAACAGCGUAUGUUGUUAUGCGGUCUGACCAAUAAAGAUCUUCGUAGAAUAUGUAGGAGCCAAUAUGGGCAUCGAGGUCCCGCUAUUGGUUAUUGAUCGGAGACAUGUCUCUGUCAUGUCUCGAACCCGUAGGGUCCGCACGCUUAAGGUUUCGAUGACAGUUAUAUUAUGAGUUUAUGAGUUUUGAUGUACCGAAGGAGUUCAGUGUCCCGGAUGAGAUCGGGGACAUGACGAGGAGUCUCGAAAUGGUCGAGACAUAAAGAUCGAUAUAUUGGACGACUAUAUUCGGACAUCGAAAAGGUUCUGAGUGGUUCGGGUAUUUUUCGGAGUACCGGGGAAUUACGGGAUUACGGGGGAAAAGUAUUGGGCCUUAUUGGGCCAUACGGGAAAGAGAGAGGGGCUGCCUAGGGCAGGCCGCGCCCCCCCCCCCAAGGCCUAGUCCGAAUUGGACUAGGGGGAGGGCUGCGCCCCCUCCUUCCUUCCCUACUCCUUUCCUCUUCCUUGUCUCCUACUCCUACUACAUGGAAGGAAUCCUAGUUGGACUAGGAAAGGGGGAAUCCUACUCCCGGUGGGAGUAGGACUCCCUAGGGCGCGCCAUAGAGAGGGCCGGCCCUCCCCUCCUCCACUCCUUUAUAUACGGGGGCAGGGGGCACCCCAUAGACACACAAGUUGAUCUUCGUGAUCGUUCCUUAGCCGUGUGCGGUGCCCCCCUCCACGAUAUUACACCUCGUUCAUAUUGUAGCGGUGCUUAGGCGGAGCCCUGCGACAGUAGAACAUCAAGAUCGUCACCACGCUGUCGUGCUGAUGGAACUCCUCCCCGAAGCUUUGCUGGAUCGGAGCCCGGGGAGCGUCAUCGAGCUGAACGUGUGCAGAACUCGGAGGUGCCGUCCGUUCGGUGCUUGGAUCGGUCGGAUCGAGAAGACGUACGACUACUUCCUCUACGUUGUGUCAACGCUUCCGCUUCGGUCUACGAGGGUACGUAGACAACACUCUCCCCUCUCGUUGCUAUGCAUCACCAUGAUCUUGCGUGUGCGUAGGAAAUUUUUUGAAAUUACUACCUUCCCCAACAUCAACCCCCCAGGGGUACAAUGGUAGUGUUACAAGGCCAUGGGGACAGGUUGUCAUCGUCCGGGAAGCCGGUGUUGGGACCCGCCGGGUGUCAGGGCUCGCCUUGUUCUUCGGGCACGGGACCUGCCGGGUGUAGGGGCACUGUUUGCCGUCUUGUCAAUCGUCAGGGAGUGGCCGGGUUGAGUCCGCUACAGUGGCGCUCCGUCAGUUCACCGCUUGCUGGCGUCAGCAGUGACGAAGGGUGCACUGUAGCCACGCCAACCCUGGUCAGCGGGUAGGUGAGGCACUAUUGCCAUGCCCGGGCUGAGCAGAGGCAUGGGAGGGGCACUGUUGCCUCGCUCAUCUCUGAAUGAAGACUCGUCCCAUCGUACGGCUGGGAUGGGACGGGAGCUGACCCGCGGCUGGGUUAGGGAACACGCCAAGGGGGAGCUGGCUUGUUGGAGAAGUCAUCGUGCGUCGGGUUCGGCUGCUUUGCGCCGGCCGUUGGGGCCGGGUUGGUAAAUUCGGCCGGGUCGAGGUGCUUUGGCCGGGUUGAGCGACCCGGCCAAGCGUGAGCCGGCUUGAGGGGCGUUGCUGGCCCCGUUGUUUUUGAAAAGGAUCCGCGUUCCGUUGCCUGCCUUGGGUUCAUCCCCACGACAGUAGUCUCCGAAGCUGUGAAGGUAUGCCGUCUUUGAGUGGGAGGGCCUUCACAGGUUCCCCCCCUGAAGAGGCGAAUUUGGUGACCGCCGGGUCCGACAACACCCACUGUGUGCCGGCUUCUGGAAGCCGGAUCAUGGCAUCCCGGCAGGGGCGGGAAACCGAAGAGUCCGCCAAAUAUUGAGGCAAUCUCUUGGGCUUCGCGUGGGCGCCACGUGGCGCCUAGGAGCCGGAGGGGCCUGACGGGCCACACGCGGCAGGACGGGGCGACGCGCUGGGGCCCGUCGCCGCACGCCCUCGGCCCACGCGCGUGGAUUUAUUGCGGUGUCCGCGGGUCGGUUGCCCUUCUCGACGCAGUUAUUGCGCGCGUACGGGCACAGUUAUUGCGGGGAAGUGGGAGGGGCGAGCACAAAUGAUCCCACUUCCCCACGUCCAAACCGUGCGUUAUAAAUUGGGGGGAGGGGUGGCGGAAAUCAUUCUUGCUCGCACUCCCCUGCCUCUUUAUCCUUCCUCUGCUUCUUGCGACCGCAGCGCGCUGCGACGCCCAUCGCUCCGAGCAGAGCUUCAUCCCCGUUCUUUCUCCUUUCCUUUCUUCGUCUUCUUCGACGGCGCUGCCGUCGGGCUCGUGGAUGGGCUUGACCAUCACCCUGGACGACGUCUCCUAUCUCUGCACCACCCGACGCUUGCCGGGGGAGACGGAGGUCGUCGUGCGCCUGCCGCAGGGCGAGCAGGAGCCGCAGCCCGAGGGCACGGAGCGCGUGGUCUUCUUCCUGCACUUCAAGCGCGGGUUCAGUCUUCCUGCGAGCGCCUCCCUCUGUCUUGGUCUCCUUCAACUAGGGACUGAUCAGAUUCCAGUUGAUUUCAUUCGUGGUAGAUGCUUAUCAUGUUGGAAAUAUGCCCUAGAGGCAAUAAUAAAAGCAUUAUUAUAUUUCCUUGUUCAUGAUAAUUGUCUUUUAUUCAUGCUAUAAUUGUGUUAUCCGGAAAUCGUAAUACAUGUGUGAAUUCAUAGACACCAACAUGUCCCUAGUAAGCCUCUAGUUGACUAGCUCGUUGAUCAACAGAUAGUCAUGGUUUCCUGACUAUGGACAUUGGAUGUCAUUGAUAACGAGAUCACAUCAUUAGGAGAAUGAUGUGAUGGACAAGACCCAAUCCUAAACAUAGCACAAGAUCGUAUAGUUCGUUUGCUAGAGUUUUUCCAAUGUCAAGUAUCUUUUCCUUAGACCAUGAGAUUGUGUAACUCCCGGAUACCGUAGGAGUGCUUUGGGUGUACCAAACGUCACAACGUAACUGGGUGACUAUAAAGGUAUACUACGGGUAUCUCCGAAAGUGUCUGUUGGGUUGACACGGAUCAAGACUGGGAUUUGUCACUCCGUAUGACGGAGAGGUAUCUCUGGUCCCACUCGGUAAUGCAUCAUCAUAAUGAGCUCAAAGUGACCAAGUGUCUGGUCACGGGAUCAUGCAUUACGGUACGAGUAAAGUGACUUGCCGGUAACGAGAUUGAAUGAGGUAUUGGGAUACCGACGAUCGAAUCUCGGGAAAGUAACAUACCGAUUGACAAAGGGAAUUGUAUACGGGAUUGCUUGAAUCCUCGACAUCGUGGUUCAUCCGAUGAGAUCAUCGAGGAGCAUGUGGGAGCCAACAUGGGUAUCCAGAUCCCGCUGUUGGUUAUUGACCGGAGAACCGUCUCGGUCAUGUCUACAUGUCUCCCGAACCCGUAGGGUCUACACACUUAAGGUUCGGUGAUGCUAGGGUUGUAGAGAUAUGAAUAUGCAGUAACCCGAAAGUUGUUUGGAGUCCCGGAUGAGAUCUCGGACGUCACGAGGAGUUCCGGAAUGGUCCGGAGGUGAAGAAUUAUAUAUAGGAAGUGCAGUUUCGGCCAUCAGGAGAGUUUCGGGGGUCACUGGUAUUGUAUCGGGACCACCGGAUAGGUCCCGGGGGUCCACCGGGUGGGGCCACCCAUCCCAGAGGGCCCCAUGGGCUGAAGUGGGGAGGGGAACCAGCCCAUAAUGGGCUGGUGCGCCCCCCUUGGCCCACCCCCUGCGCCUAGGGUUGGAAACCCUAGGGUGGGGGGGCGCCCCACUUGCCUUGGGGGCCACUCCACCCUUGGCCGCCGCCACCCCUAGGAGAUCCCAUCUCCUAGGGCCGGCACCCCCCUUGGGGAGCCUAUAUAAAGGGGGGGAGGGAGGGGCAGCCGCACCCUUGACUCUUGGCGCCUCCCUCUCCCCUGCUACACCUAUCCCUCUUGCAGUAGAACGGCGAAGCCCUGCUGCGGUGACUCCUGCAUCCACCACCAAGCCGUCAUGCUGCUGGAUCUUCAUCAACCUUUCCUUCCCCUUUGCUAGAUCAAGAAGGAGGAGACGUCACGCUGACCGUACGUGUGUUGAACGCGGAGGUGCCGUCCGUUCGGCGCUAGGAUCCUCGGUGAUUUGGAUCACGUCGAGUACGACUCCCUCAUCCUCGUUCUCUUGAACACUUCUGCUCGCAAUCUACAAAGGUAUGUAGAUGCAAUCCGAUCACUCGUUGCUAGAUGAACUCAUAGAUGGAUCUUGGUGAAACUGUAGGAAAUUUUUUGUUUUCUGCAACGUUCUCCAACAUAUCGGUGAUCUUCAAACCUUUGGCAUAGUUCCAUUGAAAACCACAAUUACUCUUGGUUGCUGAAGAUCUUGCUCGGUGAAGAUAACAACUCUUCAACACUCGAGCCGACACCUAUCCAUCUAGAGAGUGCGCAGCUCUCAAGAGUAAUAGGUACAAGAGCUCUGUCUCAGAACUACUGUGAUGCUCAACCACUAUCUGAGUUUUGGUUCUUGGUUUCGUCUUGGUGGAUUUUAAACUGAAAUCUCUUGGAGAGGGGAUGCUCAAUCAAUCUUCUCAGAAAUCUUAAGCGGAAUAGGCAACGGACAACGUUGGAGCGGGGUCUCUAUUUAUAGCCACAACCAUCCCUGAUGAGAAAUGACCGAAAUGGACAUGUGCUUCAACUAGUGGCCGAACAACACGAGUCCAACGGUCGGAAAUUGAGCACAUUGGUAACAUUCCUUGCGGAUUAAGAAAUUCUAACUCCUCAGUCCAAAAGAUAUCCCCUGCAACACCGAAGAACUACGGCUUCAGCUGACAGGUAAUCAUUCAAAGCAUAAAGAGAUUUCUCUCAUACUUGCAUAGGUUUGUGCUAAGCAUCACAGCGGAUCUAAGCUUCGAGAACAUAUACCACUCUUAGUAGUACGGAGAUCCUAAGACUCAAGAAAGAGAAGAAGAAGAUUGAAUUGAGUUCUACGUCUUCGCUUCGCCUUUGAUCUUCUCAAUCAAUUUUCUUCGGAUGACCUCUGAUCUGAUUGCUUCACCAAAGCAAUAUAUUUAUUGGGGUCAACUUCUUCACAUCAGUAUUCGCGUCAGAACGGCCUUGGGAGAUAUGACCGAAUCUUCUCUGCAUCUCAAAUAUCCUUCAGUGAAGUUCCUCGAACUUGACACCUAAGAUGGCGUUCUUCUACGGUUCUGCUUCGAAUAUUCCUCUCUGUGUGCACUAGCAAACAAAUCAGUCCAUACAUGUUUCUGUCACCAACCUCGAAGACACAGGAGGGCAAGAAUUGCACCAACAUGAACACUAUUCUUGACCCUCUGUUGCGUCAUGGAGUAUUGGUGUUCAUGGACGACAUUCUAGUUUAUAGUUCGACAUUGUAAGAAUAAGUCAAGCAACUGUGUGUUGUGUUUCAGCUACUUCAGCAAAAUUAUUUUGUUAUCAAAUGAUCGAAGUGUGAAUUUUCUAGUCAUAAAAUAGAGUACCUCGGGCAUGGCAUCAGUGAAGCGGGAGCGGCUACAGAUCCUGCAAAGAUCAUGAUAGUUCAGUCCUGGCCUACACCAUCCAGUGCGAGAGCCUUGCAGGGGAUCCCUUGGCCUGACAGGCUACUACCAUAAGUUCAUCCAACAUUAUGGGAUGAUCUGUAAACCAUUUAGUGAGAUCUUGUGUAAAGGGGUGAUCUUUUAGUGGACUCCAAUUGCGGAUCGUGCCUUCCAACUACUAAAAUCGGCCUUGACUCAAGCUCCUAUGCUAGCCCUCCCCAAUUUUAGAGAGACGUAUAUGUUGGAGAUAGAUGCGUGUAACAAGGGUAUCGAGGCUAUGUUGAUGCGGCAAGGGCACCCAGUGUCAUAUCUCAGCAAAAUCCUCUGCCCCGAAAAUCAAACUCUCAGCACAUAUGAGAAAGAGUGUCUUACUAUUCUCAUGGCAGUGGAAAUGGCGUGCAUACCUUGCUACCUCUUGAGCUUGCGUUGGUUUUUCCCUUAAAGAGGAAAGGGUGAUGCAGCAAAGUAGAGUAAGUAUUUCCCUUAGUUUGAGAAUCGAGGUAUCAAUCCAGUAGGAGACAACGCACAAAUCGCCAAAUACCUGCACAAACAAUCAAACAAUUUGCACCCAGUGCAAUAAAGGGGUUGUCAAUCCCUUCACAGUUAUUUGCAGAAGUGAGAUCUGAUAGAGAUUGAUAAACUGUAAAGUAAAUAUUUUUGGUUUGUAGAUUGGAAAGUAAAUGAUUGCAAAAUAGUAGAUCGAAAACUUAUAGAUGGAAAAUAGACCCGAGGCCAUAGGUUUCACUAGAGGCUUCUCUCAUGACAUGUCACGUGUACCCUGGCGGUCAAAACCCACUUGACAAGACAUGCUCAUUUUUAUAAAAAGGUUCAAUGUGGUACAACUUACCCUAAAUGGGGUGAUACCGAUAAAUACAUCUCACAUAGGGUAAUUCCUAUUAAAAAUAUCGGAAUAGGGCCACAAAGUUGACUUUACUCUUUAUAAAAAAAUGACUCAAUAUCAACAUGAGUAGGCAAAUAUAUAUUCUGCGCAUAUAUUUCAUGAUGGGUAUUAUGUGAGAAAAUUUCUUUUUUCAGAUCUUGGUGUAUUAUUUCGAUUAAGCGGGUCAAACUGGUAGAAAUUUGGCAUAGACCAAGUUUAACUUAGUACAGAGUUAAAAUGGCAGUUAAUUCAAAACAGAUCUAGUGCAUGUAUUUGCAGUUCACAUUUUGUUGCAUUAAUUAUUUUCCUUCUUUAGGAAGUUAAAAUUAAUUGCUUCUUCAUCCCGAUGUACGCUGCAUGUAUUUGCAGUUCACAUUUGUUUGCAAUAAUUAUUUUCCUUCUUUAGCAAGUAAAAAUUAGUCAUUUGUAUGAAGCGAUAAGCCCUAGCUUUGAAAGCAUUGAAGUACUGGCUCGUAUAGCCUAUCUAUCUAGAGGUAAUCCUAGGCACGUAUUAAAAACUUUCCAAACAUUUCAGAUGAUUGCUGGCCUAUAUAACCCCGAGUGUGCAGCAGAUACUAGACAUCACUUGUGUUGCACGCACCAUCCACUCAUGGCGAUUGGCUUGCCAUCCACUGAUCAUUUCGUGCUCCUCACCAUCCUCAUCUGCCUCCUCCUCCAUCAUUGCAGUGCAGUCUAUGAUGUCGAGUCAACCGCUGAGUCGGGGAAGCUGAUAUCGGCCCAGCUAAAGCUCGUCGGUGGGUCGACAGAAUUUGGUCCUGAUGUGAAGAGUCUCACCCUAACCGCAAGGCAAGUGUGUUUGAUAUUUCAUUUCAAUCAACUACUCCCUCCUUCCAUCUAUAUAGGGCCUAAUGCGUUUUUUAAGAUUGUCUUUGACUAUUGACAAGAUUAAUAGUACAUGACAUGCACAAUGUGAAAAUUAUAUCAUUGAAGGCUCCUUUCACAUACGAAUUUAACGGUGUGCUUUGUGUAAGUUGCAUGUUAUAUAUUAUUGCUCUAAUAUUUGGUCAAAGUUAACCUCGAAAAAUGCAUUAGGCCCUAUAUAGAUGGAAUGAGGGAGUAGCUAGAUAAGUUGGUUCUUGCUCACAGAUUCUUAAUUUUGUGUCAUGACGGCAGUCUUGAGACGGAUAGCCGGCUACGCGUGCGCAUCACCGAUGCUGACCAUCGGCGAUGGGAGGUCCCCCAAGACGUCAUCCCACGCCCGGCACCAGGGCCAGAACCAAAGGACGUUUUGCUCGACUCACCAGGCAAUCCAUCCAUGCCGACCAACAGCACCAUGUCCAGCGCGUCUUCCGACCUGACCUUCACCAUCCACCCCAGCCCGUUCCGCUUCACGGUCUCCCGUCGCUCCACCGGGGACACCCUCUUUGACACUUCCGCCAACCUUGUCUUCAAGGACCGGUAUGUUACAAGUGUUCCAUUGCAAUGUUAUCUAGUGUAGCUUAGUUGAUCCGCAAGAGUUAGAUCGAUGUAGAACAAUACCAUGGUCUGUAAGUAGCAAGUGAACGAUGGGCAUGAAAUUGGAAUGCAGGUACUUGGAGGUGACAUCGGCGCUGCCGGCUGACCGAGCAUCCCUGUAUGGGCUCGGCGAGCAGAAAAAACAGACGUUCCGGCUACAACACAAUGACACUUUCACGCUGUGGAACGGGGACGUGACGUGGUCCGACCAACCGGACCUCAACCUCUAUGGCUCGCACCCGUUUUACAUGGACGUGCGCUCCGGCGGUGCCGCGCAUGGCGUGCUCCUCCUGAACAGCAAUGGGAUGGACAUACUGUACGGCGGAUCCUACGUCACCUACAAGGUGAUCGGUGGCGUGCUAGACUUCUACUUCUUCGUCGGUCCCUCCCCGCUCGACGUCGUGGACCAGUACACACAGCUCAUCGGCCGCCCUGCCCCCAUGCCCUACUGGUCAUUCGGUACGAGUACCUUCUUGGUAGGCAUAUAUCCAUAUAUAUGCUGGCUCUGCUCUGCUACGCUCACUCGAUCUUGCACUUGUAGGGUUCCACCAGUCUAGGUAUGGCUACAAGAACGUGGCUGAUCUGGAUGGCGUGGUCGCCGGCUACGCCAAGGCCAGGAUCCCACUGGAGGCGAUCUGGUCGGACAUCGACUACAUGGACGGUUACCAGGACUUCACGCUGGAUCCGGUGAACUACCCGUCCAAGCAGCUCCGGCCAUUCGUGGACCGGCUCCACAACAAUGGCCAGAAAUACGUGGUCACCGUACACCCGGCUAUCAAACGGCAAGCAGCACCUCACGAGGACUUGUUCCUCAAGCGAAACGGCGCCAACCUGGUAGGCGAGGCGUGGCCAGGCGAGGUCUACUUCCUGGACUUCAUGAGCCCACGUAGCACCCAGUACUGGGCACGAAAGAUCUCUGAGUUUCGGCGGACCAUCCCUGUGGAUGGGCUCUGGUGCGACAUUAACGAGCCCUCCAACUUCAAGCAGUGGCAGCCUCUCAAUCAGUUGGACGACCCGCCCUACCGCAUCAACAACUCCGGCUUCCACCUUCCCAUCAACUACAGGACUGUGCCGGUCUCAACGGUGCACUACAACGGCGUGUCCGAGUACGACGCGCACAAUCUCUUCGGCCUCCUCCAGGCGCAGGCCACGCACGCCGGGCUGCUCAGGGACACCACACGCCGCCCCUUCGUGCUCAGCCGCUCUACCUUUGUCGGCUCCGGCCGUUACGCCGCGCACUGGGCCGGCAACAAUGUCGCGCGGUGGGACGAGCUUGCGCAAUCCAUCAACACCAUCCUCAACUUUGGCCUCUUCGGCAUCCCAAUGAUGGGCGCCGACAUCUGUGGCUUCAACGGCAACACCACCCAGGAGCUCUGCAGCCGCUGGAUUCAGCUUGGCGCAUUCUACCCGUUCGCCAGGGCCCACGCAGAGAAGACAACCCUCCGGCGAGAGCUCUAUGUGUGGGAGCCGACGGCACGGUCGGCGAGGAAAGCGUUGGGGAUGCGCUAUCGGCUACUGCCCUACAUGUACACGCUAAUGUACGAGGCGCACAUGACGGGGGCGCCCAUCGCGCGGCCACUCUUCUUCUCCUACCCGCAGGAUGCCGACACCUAUGGCGUGGACAGGCAAUUCAUGCUAGGCCGCGGCGUGCUUGUCUCUCCGGUGCUACAGCCCGGCGCCACCACCGUGGACGCCUAUUUCCCGGCCGGCCGGUGGUUCAGUCUUUACGACUACUCCCUCGCCUACACCAUGAAGGUCGGCAAGCGCGUGACCCUCCCGGCGCCAGCGGACUUGGCAAAUGCGCACCUGGCCGGCGGCAACAUCCUACUACUGCAGCAUGCCGACCUCACCACGUCCGCUGCACGCCAAAGCGAGUUCCACCUCCUUGUGGCGCUCGCGGAGAAUGGGACGGCCAGUGGGGAGCUGUUCUCGGAUGACGGCGACUCGCCGGAGAUGGGCGCUGUGGGAGGCAGUUGGACCCUGGUGAGAUUCAGCUGCGACAGGGAGGAAAGCAAAGGCAUGGUCACCACCAAGGUGAGUUCACAUGUGGUUCAGAACUCAUACGCGCCGAGUCGGGCGCAGGUCAUCGGCAAGGUGGUCUUCAUGGGGCUGCCGUCCGCACCAAAGAGCUUCGCUAUCUAUGUAAACAGCGUGCAGCUCAAGGCAGCCCGCACCAAGUCCCGGGCGAGCGGAGUCUUCAGCGUCAGUGGCCUGUCGCUGGCAAUCGGACAGAAGUUUGAGAUAAAGCUUGUCAUGUCCCAUUAGUAUCGAAACCAAUUGUGUAGUACAAUUUUUUAUCGGAAUAAAUAAAAGUUGAAUAUUGAUCUAGAGUGAUCUAUUGUUUAAUGUUUAAUCAUUUGAUCUAGGGUUUUAAAAAUGUCUUAACAGGUUGAUUUUAUUUUCUCAAAAUCUAAG
rnacentral:lncRNA from 1 species